GGGUGGGACCUUGAUGGCAAGUAGGUUUCGGCCCUUCUUGAGGGAGGAGUCAGACCUCCCCUCACCUU